UAAGGAGAGGGAUAAUCCCUUAUUCCCCCUUAUACUCAAACGUAAAUUUUUUACUCCAGAAUAAUAAUUCUCGGCUAUUUGAAAUAAGCUGGUAUAACUAUUUCCACCAACACCUCUAUUUUCUAUAUAUAACUAUACAUUAUUUUUUUUAUUUCAUAUUAUCUAUCCAAACGUUAUUUUUCUUAUCCCCAUACUUAUACCUAUACCUGUAAUAUCUAGUUCUUGCUUAUAUUCCAACCAAAUGAAGCCAGAUUUGCUGUUAA
rnacentral:lncRNA from 1 species